CUCCCUAAAAGCAAGGGGGGUAUGGGAUUCAGGGAUAUGUGUGCUUUUAAUCAAGCGUUAUUGGCAAAACAAGCGUGGCGAUUGAUUGAUUCCCUUGACAGUUUAUGUACCCGUUUGUUGAAGGCAAAAUAUUUUCCACACGGCAGUAUCUUGGAUACGGUUUUCACUGGAAAUUCAUCGGCCGUAUGGAAAGGAAUAGCUCAUGGUUUGGAUCUCGUUAAGAAAGGAAUAAUACGGAGGAUUGGUGAUGGUGCAUCGGUUAGAACAUGGAGAGAUCCUUGGAUUCCUCGACGAUACGAUUUUCGACCAAUUACACCUAAAAGGAACUGCCGGUUUAACCGUGUCUCUGAUUUCUUAGAUAAUAAUGCUGCUUGGAUCAGAGACCGUGUCGAGAAGCAUUUUUGGCCAAUGGAUGUUGCUGAGAUUCUUAAGAUACAUACGUCUCCUAGGAACCGGCAGGACUUCAUCGGCUGGUUUCUGGAGCCGCAUGGGAAUUUUACUGUCAAAAGUGCCUACAGGUUGGCGACAGAAACACAUGUGAGAUGUAUUCAGGGGGCGCUUGUAGUACUAGACUGGACGGCGGUGGAUCAAUUUGGAAUUAGAUUUGGAAAUCUAAUGUUCCACUCAAGAUGCGUAUUAUGGCAUGGAAGACGGCGACGGGUGCGUUGGCAACUAACCUAG
rnacentral:rRNA from 1 species